rnacentral:rRNA from 1 species
CCAUUCCUACGGGGGGCAGCAGUGAGGAAUAUUGGUCAAUGGGCUUACGCCUGAACCAGCCAAGUCGCGUGAGGGAAGACUGCCCUAUGGGUUGUAAACCUCUUUUGUCAGGGAGCAACGCCGGCUACGUGUAGCCGGACUGAGAGUACCUGAAGAAAAAGCAUCGGCUAACUCCGUGCCAGCAGCCGCGGUAAUACGGAGGAUGCGAGCGUUAUCCGGAUUUAUUGGGUUUAAAGGGUGCGUAGGCGGAAUGCCAAGUCAGCGGUAAAAAUGCGGUGCUCAACGCCGUACAGCCGUUGAAACUG